UUUGUCUUUUACAACGCUUACAAAAAUUAAUAACUCAUUCGAUUUCAGGGGUUCUUUUUGUGCAACAGGAAGGGGGAGUUGUAGGAGAAGGCCUCAAGGACAAGAGUCCAAGUACUGAUAGCCUGAUGAAUAGAGACUCGUUAGAACUUGUAGGGCACAAGCCCUGGGAACAAAGGAACAAGCUAACUGCAGACCCCUGAGCCGUUACAGUUGAGGAGGCAACCAGACGGACAGAGAAACGAGUAGCCAGAUAAGGGAACGGAGAGCGCCGAUAUGUACCUUUGUUAAUCAAGAAAGCCGCCCAUAAGGAAACCCCCUAAUUUUGGAAUAGAAAUUGUUGCUAUGUCAAGGUAAACUAGUAAGUUCCUAUUGUUUUAACGGUGUGCCUUAAAUAUCAACCAAUCAGUGUUUUUUACGCUUAAGAUUUAAGCAAUCAGUGUGUAAUAUGUAGAAGGUAGAAACGUAUAUAAUUGUAAGACAAUCACUAAUAAACCGACAACUUGCUUGCAUCAAGCUGCGUCCCGUCUCUUCAUUCGCCGCACAUGUCGGUCUUUUCACUCCCUUUUUUUGAGGCUCUGCAAAUGAGAACAGAGCGCUACGGUGAGCUACUAAAGAAAGAAGACCUACAUCUGUCUGUCUUCAGAUUCCCCAGAUGUUCUCAGUGAGCUGGGUGAGAAGAAAGCCUAUGGGACUGGAGGACUGCUGGGUCACAAUCACCACAAGUGUUUGAGAUCAUCCUGGCGUACCUGGAGAAGAAAGACUGGAAGGACGCCUCGUCAGUGUCUUGCCACAGCGGAAAGGGGCUGUUGCGUUGGGAGAGGCCGAUGAUUCGUCCAAGCGUGCUCUGUCUGGAAAAGAAGAUGAAGACGAUGACUCGGACAGCGACUAGGCUUCACAAUGAGACGAUGGGAAAGAUGGGACACGUAGUCCGUGGGAUGAAGUUUGGACGUGAAGUGGUUCCGCUCCAAAGACCAUCUGCUGCCCUUGUGACACCGGAUUGUCCCAAUGCUCGAUAGUUCCGUAGCUGGCCCAGAGCUGUUCCUGGACAUGAAGGGCAAAGAUAAAUGUGGGUUUUUUACCCUGAAGCUUCCGUAUUAAUAGCUUAUUUUUGUAAAAAAUAAAGUAAUGGCAAAUGUAGAAUUUAUUUUGUUUCCCAAGGAAGCGAUUGCAUUCCUUUUUUUUUUUUUUUUACAAUUCUUUUAAAUGUGACUUUUUCUACAUACCAAGUUGGGCACGUUACCCAAGAGCAUUAGUAGAUGCUAUUUGAAUGGAUGCCGCCUUCUCUGUUCCUGCCCUAAGUUUUCUUGAAAGCGGUGAAUGGUGACCUCACAACCUGUUCCGCUAGUGCCGUUGCCAAGUGUGCAUGAACACUCGGCACAAACAAGCAGAAAUUCUAAUUUUCCUGAGCUCCUCAACAGACAAUCACCAGCAACCAAACUGCCUUCAUCAGCUGAGCCACGCUGACUUGUAUACCAUGCGCAGAUAGCUGGGGUCGGUAGAUGAGCUACGAGCGUGGGGUUACGCCAAUGCUUUAGACUUCAGCUUGAGCAGGAUGGACGUCUGCGCAAGCGCGAAUCACGUGCCUUGGUUGGCACAUGGUGCGCAUGGAGUUGAGGCGUCACGAUCGCUUUUGGUUACUUCUCGGUCCUCCUAGCAAAAUUGAUCACGGAGCCUCAGAACAGUACCAGGAGACAGGAGCUCUCUCUUUCAAGUCACUUACUGAGUUUCAGUAGGUCUGAUUUAUGACAUGAUCCUGCGUGCAUUGUUUUCUCUGUCAAAUAUUUUUCCUUUACAAAAAGAGGCAUAGUCUCAGUUUUGGCUGGAUGUUCUGGUUCCACUCAUUUCUAACUGACUGAAGUGCUCUUGCAAAGGACGGAAACGGAGACCGUGGAAGCGUGGCUUCGCUUCAGGCUUGUGAGCCUGCCCCAUCCCUUUCUCCUGUAGGGACUAGCCAGGUAACUGCAGCUUCUGAGCAAGUACAGCUUCCGCGCGGGUCAGCUGAAGAGCGUAAGAAGACGUCAUCGUAACUGUUGUUCUGAGCUGAGCUGGAAUCAGGGGGCUGACCCAGGCAUGGCUUGGCUUGUAUCCAUUUUCAUUCCUCCCUCUGUUGUUACUGCUUUCAAACGGAGAGUAGAAGUGGGAUCCCCACAGGCCUGUAAAGGGUUGGCAACCAACAGGUUGUGGCUUUCUACAGUCGGAGGCUCUGAAAACUUGGCCAUAUUCAGUCAUCACGAUCCAGUGCAUAACUCCUGCUUACUUCUGCGUUCGCUGUGCACUCCAAAGAGUUCACGUAUUUCUCGAGUGGGCCAGCUCUGCAGUGAUAAGAUUACGUCUCGGGAGAAGGAUAGAAAGGAGUACUUGCAGAAGAAGCUUAGUUUGCAAGCUGAGGACUUCACGGAGCAUUUAGCAAUAGUUGACAUGGAUGUGUGACUGUUGAAGUCAGGCUACUACCCGAACCUUCUCAGUAACAGCAGACACAUCCUAAAGACUAGAGACUCCCAGCUUUUUGGGGUAGGGACAAGCAAUAGUUCAGAAGCUGGGACAUCUAAUUUUAUCAGAGGACACAGAAACGUCGCUGCCUCACAGAGCAGCCUUGAGAGUUACUCUGCCGCUGCUGCACCCUGACGUGAUUGUAAGAAUCUGCUUCAGCUUCUUGUGCUAGUGAAUCCAGGCCUCUAAUAAGGCAGGCAGGUGGGAUCAAGGAUAACGUAACACAAACAGCUUUAAUGCUUAUCUUGAGUCACACGUUGAACAUAACCUUGUUCUUCUCUUUAUUACUAGGAUGGGUGAAGUGCCCUUGAGAGAGCUUUGUUGUCAGACGUCUAGCAAAUACAGUCACGGGUGCUUUGGAAAGGGAAAUGGGUGAGAAGGUGCAAUUGAUUGUAACUAUCCUUGCAAACUAUUGCCCUUCUGGCUCUUACCACGUUUGUUCCAUGACCUGUCAGCUUCAAAGUUCAUGGAGGGAAUGCAACCGUGCUGUUGAAAGACUACAUUAAUGUGGUUGCUUUAGUUUUGGUUCUGUUCAGUAGUGAUCCUGUGAGGCCUCUGCGAUGUAAUUAAGGUUUUCAGGCUCAGCUGCUGCAGCAUGGUGCUGAGGGACAGCUGGUAGGAAACACUCAGGACAGAGAUUUGAAUGGGAUUAAGACAGUCAUGAGUACAGCCCAAAAGCAUUUGGUCAAGUUCAAGUGUGGCCCGUUCAACAAGUCAUUACCACAGCCCUGUCAGUGUGUGGUCACUUAACCCUGCUGUCUGGUUUCCAGCUGACUUUGUAGUGUUUACACCUAAGACACCAGGGAAGUUGCAAAGCACUGCCAGCUCCUGUCCUGCUAGAAGCUCCGUCCCCAUUUAC